rnacentral:rRNA from 1 species
AGAACGAACGCUGGCGGCAUGCCUAAUACAUGCAAGUCGAACGAACUCUUCGGAGUUAGUGGCGCACGGGUGCGUAACGCGUGGGAAUCUGCCCUUGGGUUCGGAAUAACAGUUGGAAACGACUGCUAAUACCGGAUGAUGACGAAAGUCCAAAGAUUUAUCGCCCAGGGAUGAGCCCGCGUAGGAUUAGCUAGUUGGUGAGGUAAAGGCUCACCAAGGCGACGAUCCUUAGCUGGUCUGAGAGGAUGAUCAGCCACACUGGGACUGAGACACGGCCCAGACUCCUACGGGAGGCAGCAGUAGGGAAUAUUGGACAAUGGGCGAAAGCCUGAUCCAGCAAUGCCGCGUGAGUGAUGAAGGCCUUAGGUUGUAAAGCUCUUUUACCCGAGAUGAUAAUGACAGUAUCGGGAGAAUAAGCCCCGGCUAACUCCGCGCCAGCAGCCGC